rnacentral:rRNA from 1 species
GCCCCAAAAGAAACACCGGGAAUGUCAUCCCCAACGGCGAGUGAAGCGGCAACAGCUCAAAUUUGAAAUCUGGCCCUAGGCCCGAGUUGUAAUUUGCAGAGGAUGCUUUUGGUGCGGUGCCUUCCAAGUUCCCUAGAACGGGACGCCAGAGAGGGUGAGAGCCCCGUACAGUUGGACACCAAGCCUUUGUAAAGCUCCUUCGACGAGUCGAGUAGUUUGGGAAUGCUGCUCAAAAUGGGAGGUAUAUUUCUUCUAAAGCUAAAUACCGGCCAGAGACCGAUAGCGCACAAGUAGAGUGAUCGAAAGAUGAAAAGCACUUUGAAAAGAGGGUUAAACAGCACGUGAAAUUGUUAAAAGGGAAGCGCUUGUGACCAGACUUGCGUCCGGUGAAUCACCCAGCUCUCGCGGCUGGGGCACUUCGCCGGCUCAGGCCAGCAUCAGCUCGCUGUCGGGGACAAAAGCUUCAGGAACGUAGCUCUCUUCGGGGAGUGUUAUAGCCUGUUGCACAAUACCCUUCGGCGGGCUGAGGUACGCGCUCCGCAAGGAUGCUGGCAUAAUGGUCAUCAGCGACCCGUCUUGAAACACGGACCAAGGAGUCAACCUUAUGUGCGAGUGUUCGGGUGUCAAACCCCUACGCGUAAUGAAAGUGAACGCAGGUGAGAGCUUCGGCGCAUCAUCGACCGAUCCUGAUGUUCUCGGAUGGAUUUGAGUAAGAGCAUAUAGGGUUGGACCCGAAAGAAGGUGAACUAUGCGUGUAUAGGGUGAAGCCAGAGGAAACUCUGGUGGAGGCUCGCAGCGGUUCUGACGUGCAAAUCGAUCGUCAAAUAUGCGCAUGGGGGCGAAAGACUAAUCGAACCUUCUAGUAGCUGGUUUCCGCCGA